rnacentral:tmRNA from 1 species
GGGGCUGACCGGUUUUGACAGCGGGUAGAAGUGGUUUGUAAGCAUGCAGCGCGUCGUUGACUUGGCGCUUAUAAACGGUUGACAAACAAUUAACUGGCGAAAAUACUUAUGCUCUCGCUGCGUGAUUGAAGUAUAGUAGAUCACUUGCUUAAUCCUUACACUGGGUGUUUGGACGAGACGUCAUCCGGAGCUUUUUCUCCGAAGCUUACCGAACCGAUGGCGCAGCGUAUCGGAGAUAGUCGCGGGGGCGUCCCGAAACUGCGAUGAAAAUUUUAGGGGCUAAGGUUGCAGUUGGUGGCUUCGGUCUUGCUGCAGCACGAAAACCAAAGCGAAGAUAAGCAUGUAGAAAGCAAAUUAGUUCCUCGUUUGGACGAGAGUUCGAAUCUCUCCAGCUCCACAU